UCUGAGUCUUUUGGUGUGAGCUACUUUAUCUGGAGAGUUGAAAAUUGUCCAUAUUUGUCAACAGGCUUUAAUACAUAAUAAUAUAUACACAAUAAAGCAAUCUACCUAAUAUUAUUGUUGAACAAAACUUGUCUUUUUUACAUCCUAUAGUUUGGCUACAUUUAGUUUGUUGCAUCAGAAGGCUGACUUUCGUUUCUGUCAUAAAUGAAAUGCUAUCUAAAUAAUAACAGUCAUUCUCCUAGUAAAUUUGUUUUGUAAAAAGUGGUCUACUAGAUAGGGGAUGCGUCUAUUCUGCUACAAAUUCUUGGUGCUGUUCUGCUUGUUUUUUGGUUAUUAUUGCUUAUUCCAAUCAAUUUGGAGUCUGACAUAGAAUCUCUU